AAUGUGACGUCACCACUUAGCUUGAACAACUGGAUAUCAUUACAAUGCUAGUUCUCAUGCCAUUAUGAAACUCAGUGUUUAUAAGACAGAUAAGAGUGGAGCAAGAUCAAGGGAAUUAUCACCUUCGUAUAUCGCUGCGAUACACCCUUGCCCAAAUCCACUACACACCCAGGCUUCACACAGGCAGCAGACUCAGUGGCCAGCAGUGGAGCUGGCUUCAGCCUUGGUGUAGGAAAGAGGAAGUGAGGAAAAUGGAAGGAAUCUGGUCAAAAAGGAUGAAGGUGGCCAUGGUGGUGGCAAUGUUGGCACUGUCUUGCACCAAUGUUCCAGCCAAAGCUCAGGAUACCUAUGAAGAGCUACUGCAAAAGGUGAAAACA